rnacentral:rRNA from 1 species
UGGGGAAUUUUGGACAAUGGGCGCAAGCCUGAUCCAGCAAUGCCGCGUGCAGGAUGAAGGCCUUCGGGUUGUAAACUGCUUUUGUACGGAGCGAAAAGGUCUGCCCUAAUACGGUGGGCUCAUGACGGUACCGUAAGAAUAAGCACCGGCUAACUACGUGCCAGCAGCCGCGGUAAUACGUAGGGUGCGAGCGUUAAUCGGAAUUACUGGGCGUAAAGCGUGCGCAGGCGGUUAUAUAAGACAGAUGUGAAAUCCCCGGGCUCAACCUGGGAACUGCAUUUGUGACUGUAUAGCUAGAGUACGGCAGAGGGGGAUGGAAUUCCGCGUGUAGCAGUGAAAUGCGUAGAUAUUCGGAAGAACACCAGUGGCGAAGGCGACUACCUGGCCGUCGAUUGACGCUCAUGUGCGAAGGCGUGGGGAGCAAACA